GAUGAACGCUGGCGGCGUGCCUAAUACAUGCAAGUCGAGCGAACAGAUGAGGAGCUUGCUCCUCUGACGUUAGCGGCGGACGGGUGAGUAACACGUGGAUAACCUACCUCUAAGACUGGGAUAACUUCGGGAAACCGGAGCUACUACCGGAUAAUAUAUUGAACCGCAUGGUUCAAUAGUGAAAGACGGUUUUGCUGUCACUUAUAGAUGGAUCCGCGCCGCAUUAGCUAGUUGGUAAGGUAACGGCUUACCAAGGCAACGAUGCGUAGCCGACCUGAGAGGGUGAUCGGCCACACUGGAACUGAGACACGGUCCAGACUCCUACGGGAGGCAGCAGUAGGGAAUCUUCCGCAAUGGGCGAAAGCCUGACGGAGCAACGCCGCGUGAGUGAUGAAGGUCUUCGGAUCGUAAAACUCUGUUAUUAGGGAAGAACAAAUGUGUAAGUAACUAUGCACGUCUUGACGGUACCUAAUCAGAAAGCCACGGCUAACUACGUG
rnacentral:rRNA from 1 species